CAAAACUUGAGAGCCCUGUUUCCGUUGACUCCCGAGCUGCCCUUGCCCUAGCUAAAUCGUACAAUGAAUGGUUUAUUCUAUAUGAUUUGUAUUCUGUCAAUUUUUCUCGCACCACCCGUAUCAGGAAACAUUUGCCUUGGAACCCCUGUGGUAGUGACUAUACAAUGUAAAAACAUUUCAACCGGAGAUGGAUAUUAUAAAUACCCCUGGUCUCUGCCUCCGGGUAAAGUGUGUAAAGAUCUUGAAGUCUACGCCGACAAUCAGCCGAUACUACUGGCCCAACAUCCUAACGCAACACUCCCUAAACUAACACAGUGUCGAAACCUGACUGUGAGAUGCAUCUACGAAAUGAAUGGCACUGUAAAUGUGGAUGAGAUGUGCAGGGAAUUUGUCACCGAUUCAGAUGCUUCCUCUUUAUCAGAGCCAGAAAGACCUAAACAACAGUUAAACAACACAAGUGAACAGACUGACGUGGACUCAGUGAAAAAUGAACCAUCACCCAUGGAUCAAAGUACCCAGCCAGUGGCGUUUUGGAUUACUGUUGUUGGGCCGGUGGUGGUGUUGGCGGUGGUGGGCGCAGCGUGGUGGUGUGUACGAAAAAAGAAACCGAUGCCAACCCAGAACCAAGGACUGGAGUUAACUGAAAUGAACAGACCCGACGAUGGUGAUCAGACACCAUCAGGACAUGGGGACACGACUGAAGACGGGGCUCUCCCUGAGAAGACAACUGAGAAACCGAAGAGCAAUCACUGUUACGUGGAACUGAUGAGACGGAAAACCUGCUGGAAUGGAGAUUGUAAAGAUUGAGGGCGAGGUAUAGCCUGGGUAUACCCAUGCUGCCAUGCGCGAGAUUUCAUUUUGCCCUGCUAGGCAGCCUGGAUUCCAUGGAUCCGAUGUUCGCUUCAGGGAGGGAACCAGGGCGAGGGGACAGCUAGACGAUGACGACGUCUUUGCCACACUCCAAAGCUUGUACUUUGUUCAUAUCUAUGGAUCCAACAUGGUUGCAAAUGCAAAGUUGCCUUUCGAUGCAGCCUUAGAUAGUGUUCUAAGUAGUUAAGAACGCAAGAUGGUUUAAUUGAUACGAUGGUUUAAUUGAUACGAUUGGCUAUGAGCUACGUACAAACGCAUUUGAUAGACAUUCGUAAACACUCUGGGCAUUCGUAAACCACGCCUUAAAUACGAGAAAAUUAAUGUGUGGUUCCCAGACCAAAUCUCAAUGUAGAUUGAGGUGAGGUCUGGUGUUAGCCAGGAUUGUUGAAGUAUGCAAUUAUAUGAAAAUAGUACAAUGGUAUAGGAGAGACUUAUAUUCACAUGAGAAAGAUAUUUAGCUUUCUAAGUUUAGAUUUAGCUUUCUGCUAAAUCUUAAGUACAUUGCACUUUCUAUAAUGCAUUCUUCAAGAUUUGCAUGUAAAUUAAAAAAAUAUGUAUUAUAAAGUUAAUGAGGGCUGGCAAAUGUCCAGUUGGAAAGUUGUAAAUAUAUACAAAGGAACUCAAACAAUUUGAGGGAGGGUGGGGGCUUGCAACAGUGAGAGACCAUGUUAGGAGUUACUCAAUCUUUGGGGUGGGAUGGGACAUUUUUGCGUAGGUAGAGCUUUCAGAAAUUACUGUGCAGGGUUUCAUUUCUGUUUACAUUGAAACACCUUCUUCAUGAAAUGCAUUCAGAGAUGGAAUUGCUGUUUGAACUUUGCUUACUGUGACUUGUGAGAGUCAGCCCACAGUGUGAAGUCUUACAGCCUGCCGUCUGAUACAG
ensembl:lncRNA